rnacentral:tRNA from 1 species
GAGAGCCUAGUAAACACAUUACAUGACCCCGUCAUAGUCAAAUCACAGCACCUGUGGCUCUCA